GUUUAUGGCCAUGCCACCCUGAAUGUGCCCUAUCUUGUCUGAUCUCAGAAGCUAAGCAGGGUUGGGCCUGGUUAGUAUUUAGAUGGGAGACCACCUAGGAAUACCAGGUGCUAUAGGUA
rnacentral:rRNA from 1 species